CCUCACUCCUGCCCCUGCGCCCCGCACACGUGCGCGGAUGCACACGCGCAACACACACACUGGCCUCUUCACCCUUGGGCCUCCAGCCGGCGCCUCCUGUGCCUCUGUCUCCAAGCCCGCUCGGGGAAGCGACUAAUUAACGGGUCACACUGAGGUGUGCAUGUGUGAGAAGUUACACUUCUACCUGUGCCAGAAAUAAUUGCUUUUGAAGAACUUUCAACCACCUUGAGUGAAAGGAAACCGUCGUGGCGUGAGAUCAGGCAAGAACCACAUCUUGUCGUUUUGUUUGCUGGCUUUACCCUGGGCCCGAGACUAAAGUAACCGUCUCUAGAAUCUCACCAGAUAAAGAAUCUGAGGCUCAGAAGAGUUUUCCACACCCUUCCUAGCGGCAGAACCAGGAUCAGGUUGCCUAGAAAAAUAAUGAAUUUUCCAUCCUCAAGAAGUCUCUACCAUAAGUUAUAUCAUGCAAAUGUAUAUUUGUAUUGCACGUAGGAAUUCAUUGCUGGCUAAGAAAGAUGGUUUGAAGGAAAACUUUCUUUUUUCAGUUCUUUAGUGUGGGCUGGCAUGGGGAACCCCAAAGAUAUUGCUCUGAGGCUGGAUUUUCCCAGUAUUAACAAGUAAAAUGAUGGAGAUAUGGAAGAGAAGAAAUAAUUUUGAACUUUUCUCUCUACAAUAGUUUUACUGAGACUUUAGAUCCAAGUGACAUUCUAACUGUAUUUCUUGUGUCUCUCCAGCCUUGGCCCAUGCCAUUGUCUUCUGCUUCCUUUCCAUACUCACAUGAUUAGCAUGGAAGUCUUCCUCCUCCUUCCAGAAAAGUCCCCAAACUCCCAUUACUCAAAUGGUUUCCUCAGGGCUAGACUCCUGGGUGCUCCUGGACUGGUCCCUUCGGCCCUUCCCUCUGGCCCUCUCCUCUUGCCCUGGCGAGCUCCUUAAUCCCCCUCCUCAUCCUGCUGAGCACAGGACCCCCAAAGGAUGCCACCAGUGAUGUUUCUCCAAUUCUUCACAGCACAGCUCAGGCCAGGCUAUGACUUUGUACAGGACUCCAUUGAAGGAUAUCCCUUGUUUAACAGAAAUGCCCAGAAAUGUCUUAAGAGUCACAAGCCCAAACCCAAACUCUGGCUGAGGCACCGGCAGCCUCCUUCAACGGGGGGUGGUGGAGGGGAAGAGUGGGAAACUCUGGGCUUAGGCAGAAUUCCCUGAAAGGGGGAAUUCGUGUUGAACCUAUUACCAGUUAAUUGUCUCUGAGCUCUGCAUCCACCCUUUUUGUCUGUUCCGUAAAAAUUAACCUGGGCCCUUUAUGUAGUUUUCCUUGCUUCCCUCCCCCUGCCAUGUUAUGCUUUGCCUGUAGGGGGUGCUGGACAGAGAUUACAAGAGGAAAACCAGUGUCUCUGGUGUGCUCCUGGAAAAUCAGGCUCUUACAGAGGCUUCUCGGGUUUCUGUGGCGCACCCAACUUCCCUGGUGCCCAGCUACUGCUCUGCCUACCAGCCGGCAGCAUCCUACAACCCUGGCACUCCCUCACAUGGUUUUGAGAUACCUCCCUAUGAACCUAGAGAGUCGAUUUCCAGGAAGUUCUAGGGGCCAGAUGUCUAGCAAGUUCUACCAGCACGGCAUUGACAGUGACUUCUCUGUCAUCUAGUGAGUCACGACCACACUCUCUUCAACAAGAUUUGGAUCUCAGCCUCCCGGGGUGAGGAGAAGGUGGGGGACUGUCUGUCUCAGCUCAGAGCAGGGGUAGCGGCUUGCUACGUUGUUAUGUUACGUCACGUUACUUUACGGACUAUAGGCCGUGCGCUGUGGUAAUUAGCUCAGAAUCACGUAUUUGACUUCAUUGGCUCUUCUUUCUGUGGCUCACUCCCACCCUCCUGCCUCGUGGAACCACUCCCCAAAUGAACUACCAAGUCCUCCCCUCAAGAUCUGCUUUUGGGAGAACGUAAACUAAGGUAGACAUGCACCCCCCAGUGAGGGAGGGACAAUUCCAGUCUAAGCAAAGUGACAGGGACAGAACGAAGGGUCGGGAGCUUUCUCCUCCCUCUGAAUUUGUCAUCUCCCUGUGACUUCAAAACCGUCUCACGUCCGUGGCCCUGGGGGGGGCACUGGAAAUGACUCCGAGCUAGGAAGAAUGACCUCAUCUUCUGGAUGACAGAACCAAGGUACAAAAAGAUCUUGACCUGCUGAAGCAACGGGGCUUCCAUCAACAGGACGAAAUUGAAGAGAUAAACAAGUGCUCCGUUUAAGUUCAUAAAGAAGGUCAGUUAUCCACAGACUGAACAUGAUAGCGAUUCGUUUGAAACGAAAUGUGGAGUUUUUCACUGAUCACAAUGUCCCUAUGAGUCAGGACUUCAAAAAAAAAAAAAAGCCAAAGAAACGUGGGGCAGUGUUGGCAAAAGCAUCCAAAUCGAGGACCCAGAAGAUUCUCCAUGGCCUGGCUCUGGCUCACCACAACCAAGCCCAAGUCUCGGACUCUCUGCUGAUUGGACGGCGUAUCGGACACCUCUCAGGAGCCACUUUAUUUAUUUAUUUAUUUACUUAUUUAUUUAGUGUUUAUUUUUGAGAGGAGGGGAAAGGCAGAGAGAGAGAGAGAGAGAGAGACAGAGGAUCCAAAGCUUGGUACCAACAGCAGAGAGCCGGAUUCAGGGCUCGAACUCAUGAACGGUGAAAUCAUGGCCUGAGCUGAAGUCAGACAUUCAACCAGCUGAGCCGCCCAGGCGCCCCAGGAGCCACUUUAGAUCCACGCAGCCUCACCUGUCUCAGGACCUCUGCCUGCUUGGGUUGGUCCAGCCUCAGCACUGGCAAGUAGCUCUGUGUGGGCUCUGGCCAUCUUCAUGGGGGCACGACCAACAGUGUCUUUGGCCUUCUGUUGUCUUUGCUCUUUUCCCCUGUCGCCGUUGAAGCAUAAGAUGCUGGGGGAUGCCACGGGCAUAUACACAGCAUGGACGCGUAGGGAAGUUAACACCCAGUGGGACUCCCACCAAUGGGAGACAAGGGCCAAGAGGUCUAUUCUUCCCCCUUCCUUCCUGUAGCAGAUGUUCCUGAUUAGAAGUUGUUUAUGUAGCCUCUUGGAAGAGGGCGAUCGAGCUGUCCAGUGCACCUCAUAUCAGGCAGUGGCUCCUUUGAGAGUGAACCUUCAUAUUGACCCCCUCCCCAACUGCACCACCAUUUCCCGCCUCUUUUCUUCUCCCUGGCACUACAUUUCUAAAUAAAGUCCUUGGACAUAA